GGCCCCUUAGCUCAGUGGUUAGAGCAGGCGACUCAUAAUCGCUUGGUCGCUGGUUCAAGGCCAGCAGGGGCCACCA
rnacentral:tRNA from 1 species